rnacentral:rRNA from 1 species
CCUACGGGAGGCAGCAGUAGGGAAUCUUUCACAAUGGGCGAAAGCCUGAUGGAGCAACGCCGCGUGCAGGAUGAAGGUCUUCGGGUUGUAAACUGCUUUUAUAAGCGAAAAAUCUGAUGGUAACUUAUGAAUUAGGCUCGGCUAACUACGUGCCAGCAGCCGCGGUAAUACGUAGGUGGCAAGCGGUAUCCGGAAUUAUUGGGCGUAAAGAGCGCGCAGGUCGUUAAUUAAGUCUGAUGUGAAAGCCCACGGCUUAACCGUGGAGGGUCAUUGGAAACUGGCUGAAUUGAGUGCAGAAGAGGUAAGUGGAAUUCCAAGUGUAGCGGUGAAAUGCGUAGAGAUAUGGAGGAACACCAGUGGCGAAGGCGACUUCAUGGUCUGCAACUGACAUUGAGGCGCGAAAGUGUGGGGAGCAAACAGGAUUAGAUACCCGUGUAGUC